AAGAAAACUAUAAAAAAAAAAAACUAACAAAAAUAAAAGUGGUGGCAGGUCGGAGGACGGGAUCCUCUCCGCCAGUCGCCCUCCUCAAGGGGUGGUCGCGCGGGGGCCUGUCAGGCUUCCGGCGACCUCCCCUGAAGGGCCCAAACGGUGGGGGAGCCUCGUCCUUACAUCUGCCCCCCGUCUGUUGUGUGGGGAAGUCGCCGGCAGGCCAACAGGGCCCCGACGACCUCGCCUGAGGGGGGAUGCCGGCGAGGGGAACCCCUUCCCUCGAUCCGCUCAACUCUGUUUCUCUCGGACAAAGAAAUUAAUGUUUUAGCAUUUACACUCUUCGCCUCCACACCUAACUAUUGCCCACUCAUCAAUUGCCGCCACCAAAGCUCUGAUCCCCUCUUCUCAUUCUUCCUCCCCUUAUUUACCACUCAAUCGACCUCCUCCCACCGAUCUUUGCUGCAGCAGAGUAAAUGGGUAGCCAGAGAUGGCAUUAACAUGCUCAAAGUUUGAUCCUUUUUUUGCUCUAGCUUCAAAUGGGUUCCCGCCAAAAGCUCAAGAGGUGUUGCAGUAAUACAGUGGGGCGAGAAACUUCAAGAGGAGCAGUAGCAGCAACUAUGAACCGGAGCUCGUCCCCUUCGGGGAGGUGGAAGAAGAUCGAGAGCAUUGGGAAGAUGAAGUUUGGUUCCUUUGGGUAUUGUGAGGGGGCUCUCAAUCAGCAAGGCAACCAGAGCCACAAUUGCUGGGAAGAUGGGCUCCAAUGGAGCCAGUGAUGUCGCUUGAGGGGAGGUCGCCGGAAGUCCAAUAGGCCCCUCGCGACAACCCCCUGAGGGAGGGCGGCCGGCGGAGGGGAUCCCCUCCUCCGACCAGCACCUCAUGAAAAAAAAUGUUUUUUUAUGUAUAAUUUAUUUAUUUAAUGUAUUAUAUAUUUCAUGUGGCGUGCCACAUGUGCAAAAAGGACCCACCUUGAAGGUCUGCUCAAUUCACCGUUACAGUUUUGGAUGGAAUUUAAACGAUGUGCUAAAUUUAAAAAGAGAAUGGUAUUUUAUGCCAUGAAUUGCCAAAA